rnacentral:rRNA from 1 species
AGCAGGGAUAACAUUUGGAAACAAAUGCUAAUACCGUAUAAUAAUUAAAACCGCAUGGUUUAGUUUAAAAGAUGGUCUUGCUAUCACUAAGAGAUGGUCCCGCGGUGUAUUAGUUAGUUGGUGAGGUAAUGGCUCACCAAGACAAUGAUACAUAGCCGAGUUGAGAGACUGACCGGCCACAAUGGGACUGAGACACGGCCCCAUACUCCUACGGGAGGCAGUAGUAGGGAAUCUUCCACAAUGGACGAAAGUCUGAUGGAGCAACGCCGCGUGUGUGAUGAAGGGUUUCGGCUCGUAAAACACUGUUGUAAGAGAAGAAUGACAUUGAGAGUAACUGUUCAAUGUGUGACGGUAUCUUACCAGAAAGGAACGGCUAAAUACGUG